CCUACGGGAGGCAGCAGUGGGGAAUAUUGGACAAUGGGCGCAAGCCUGAUCCAGCAAUGCCGCGUGUGUGAAGAAGGCUUCGGGUUGUAAAGCACUUUUAUCAGGAACGAAAUACUACUGGUUAAUAACCGGUGGGGCUGACGUACC
rnacentral:rRNA from 1 species